rnacentral:rRNA from 1 species
CAUUACACAAAUAUGAAGCCGGACUGGGAUAGGGCCUCGCUGCCUUGCCCGUCUGGCGCCAUAUUCACCCAUGUCUUUUUGCGUACUACUUGUUUCCUUGGCGGGUCCGCCCGCCAAUUGGACCUUAUUCAAACCUUUUUUUCAGUUGCAAUCAGCGUCAGCAAAACAAAUGUAAUCAAUUACAACUUUCAACAACGGAUCUCUUGGUUCUGGCAUCGAUGAAGAACGCAGCGAAAUGCGAUAAGUAGUGUGAAUUGCAGAAUUCAGUGAAUCAUCGAAUCUUUGAACGCACAUUGCGCCCUUUGGUAUUCCAAAGGGCAUGCCUGUUCGAGCGUCAUUUGUACCCUCAAGCUUUGCUUGGUGUUGGGCGUCUUGUCUCUCUCCCGAGACUCGCCUUAAAAUCAUUGGCAGCCGGCCUACUGGUUUCGGAGCGCAGCACAUUAUUUGCGCUCUUGUCCAGCCGCGGUCGCGCGUCCAUGAAGCUUCUUUCAACCUUUUGACCUCGGAUCAGGUAGGGAUACCCGU